rnacentral:rRNA from 1 species
UACAGAGGUCUCAAGCGUUGUUCGGAUUCAUUGGGCGUAAAGGGUGCGUAGGCGGCGCGGUAAGUCGGGUGUGAAAUUUCGAGGCUUAACUUCGAAACUGCAUUCGAUACUGCCGUGCUUGAGGACUGGAGAGGAGACUGGAAUUUACGGUGUAGCGGUGAAAUGCGUAGAUAUCGUAAGGAAGACCGUGGCGAAGGCGGGUCUCGUGGACAGUUCCUGACGCUGAGGCACGAAGGUCAGGGGGAGCAAACGGGG